UACGUAGGGUGCAAGCGUUAAUCGGAAUUACUGGGCGUAAAGCGUGCGCAGGCGGUUUUGUAAGUCUGAUGUGAAAUCCCCCGGGCUCAACCUGGGAAUUGCGUUGGAGACUGCAAGGCUGGAGUCUGGCAGAGGGGGGUAGAAUUCCACGUGUAGCAGUGAAAUGCGUAGAGAUGUGGAGGAACACCGAUGGCGAAGGCAGCCCCCUGGGUCAAGACUGACGCUCAUGCACGAAAGCGUGGGGAGCAAACAGG
rnacentral:rRNA from 1 species